rnacentral:rRNA from 1 species
CCUACGGGAGGCAGCAGUGGGGGAUAUUGGUCAAUGGGGGAAACCCUGAACCAGCAACGCCGCGUGAGGGAAGACGGCCUUCGGGUUGUAAACCUAAGUGAUCAGGGACGAAGGAAGUGACGGUACCUGAAAAGCAAGCUCCGGCUAACUACGUGCCAGCAGCCGCGGUAAUACGUAGGGAGCGAGCGUUGUCCGGAUUUACUGGGUGUAAAGGGUGCGUAGGCGGGAAAGCAAGUCAGGUGUGAAAUACCGGGGCUCAACUCCGGGGCUGCGCUUGAAACUGUUUUUCUUGAGUGAAGUAGAGGCAGGCGGAAUUCCUAGUGUAGCGGUGGAAUGCGUAGAUAUUAGGAGGAACACCAGUGGCGAAGGCGGCCUGCUGGGCUUUAACUGACGCUGAGGCACGAAAGCAUGGGGAGCAAACAGG